rnacentral:rRNA from 1 species
GAAUUCGAUUCAGGCCUAACACAUGCAAGUCGAGCGGGGUUUUCGGACCUAGCAGCGGACGGGUGAGUAAUGCGUAGGAAGCUGCCCGAUAGAGGGGGAUACCAGUUGGAAACGACUGUUAAUACCGCAUAAUGUCUACGGACCAAAGUGUGGGACCUUCGGGCCACAUGCUAUCGGAUGCGCCUACGUGGGAUUAGCUAGUUGGUGAGGUAAUGGCUCACCAAGGCGACGAUCUCUAGCUGGUUUGAGAGGAUGAUCAGCCACACUGGAACUGAGGCACGGUCCAGACUCCUACGGGAGGCAGCAGUGGGGAAUAUUGGACAAUGGGCGCAAGCCUGA